rnacentral:rRNA from 1 species
GACGAACGCUGGCGGCGUGCUUAACACAUGCAAGUCGAGCGGUAAGGCCCUUUCGGGGUACACGAGCGGCGAACGGGUGAGUAACACGUGGGUGACCUGCCCUCAGCUCUGGGAUAAGCCUGGGAAACCGGGUCUAAUACUGGAUAUGACUCCAUGACGCAUGUUGUGGGGUGGAAAGCCUUGUGCGGCUGAGGAUGGGCCCGCGGCCUAUCAGCUUGUUGGUGGGGUGAGGCCUACCAAGGCGACGACGGGUAGCCGGCCUGAGAGGGCGACCGGCCACACUGGGACUGAGACACGGCCCAGACUCCUACGGGAGGCAGCAGUGGGGAAUCUUGCGCAAUGGGCGAAAGCCUGACGCAGCGACGCCGCGUGAGGGAUGACGG